CCUACGGGAGGCAGCAGUGGGGAAUAUUGCACAAUGGGGGAAACCCUGAUGCAGCGACGCCGCGUGAGUGAAGAAGUAUUUCGGUAUGUAAAGCUCUAUCAGCAGGAACGAGACAAGACGGUAUCUGUCUAAGAAGCCCCGGCUAACUACGCGCCAGCAGCCGCGGUAAUACGUAGGGGGCAAGCGUUAUCCGGAAUCACUGGGGGUAAAGGGAGCGUAGACGGCUGUGCAAGCCUGGAGUGAAAGGCGGGGGCCCAACCCCUGGACUGCUUUGGGAACUGUAGGGCGGGAGUGCAGGAGAGGUAAGUGGAAUUCCUAGUGUAGCGGUGAAAUGCGUAGAUAUUAGGAGGAACACCAGUGGCGAAGGCGGCUUACUGGACUGUAACUGACGUUGAGGCUCGAAAGCGUGGGGAGCAAACAGGAUUAGAUACCCUUGUAGUC
rnacentral:rRNA from 1 species